AGACCAUGGAUUUGACUCAUUUUCAUCCAUGGUUUAUAGGUGUUUUUUACUAAUAAUUUUUAUAUUAUUGAGUCUAUUUAUUAUAUUUAUAAGAUCAUCAGUGAUUUGGAGAUAAGUGAUGAUUUUGGAGCAUUUUGGAGAUAUUUGGAGCAAGCACCUGAGAUGACCAUCGAGGUCGACCAUCGGUCGAUAUUGGAGAGGAAUAAUCGAUCAGUGUUCAUAUCUUGACAUCGAUCGACAGAGAAGCGCUCAGAAAGCCCGUUUGGUCACAGCUGACUUGAUGCCCAAGUCUUCACCAAUUUACAAGAUUGCAUCUGGCGAGUUUUAACCUAAUUAUAUAAGCUUUGCCACCAUGUUAGAGGCAAAGUGUGCUUUUAUUGUUUUAUUAUUUUCACAGCAAGUUUUUCUAGAAUUUAGAUAGAUUGGAAAGAAGAUCCAAAGUUAUAAUUUAUGAUUGAAACUCCAUUAAUAUCUAUUUACUAUUCUAAUGAAGUUUUCUUACCUAACUGUUGUUAUGAAUUUCUUAGCCAUGUCUGAGUAGUUCCAUUGUUAAAUUUUAGAGUUUAAAUAGGUUAGGAGGAAUUAUCCCCAACUAUAGAUUGCUAAGUUGUGGUAAUUGUCAUUAGGAUUGUUCAUUAAUGCAUGUCUCUAGAUUAGCUACUUAGAACUUGCCCUAGGAUUGAUAGAUAAAAGCGAGAUCUUUAUUCUCAUUCUGAAGACAUUCUAACUGAGCUAAGUUUCUUGCUAUGAGUAAGGCGAGAGCUGAUCUAGUGAGCUUAGUAAGCUAUCAUUCAACCCGCGCAUAAAUCUUAACUGGAAGAACGUCGAUCGAUAUCAUUAUUGAAUAAUUGAUCGACAGAGCGAAAGGUGUAUCGAUCGAUAUCCCUAUAGGAUCACCUAUCGACACUUUCUAUUGGUUGACAUACGAUAGUUGAGAUCAUUAGAUCUAGUUAACAGACAAGUCUAAACAUGCGAAAGCUGAUAGACUUGUAGACUAAUUAGUUGAGCUUUACAUUAUCAUGCAUGCAACUCAUUAGGCAUCUGUAGGAUUAUAAUUCCAAGUUUCCUGAAUAAAAACCCUAAGUCUAACUAUUUCCUUUUAAAGCACCAAAACCUCAAUUAAUCUAUUGAACAAACACUUGUUCAAUAUAAAACUGCAAUUUACAUUUAAAUCUCUAAAACUAUAUAGCUUAACAAAUCAUAUUAGAUUUCUUAGGUUUCCUAGCUCCAUGUGAAUUCGAUCCAUAAGUACUACAACUCGACCUCUUAUUUGAGAGACAAAGAGAGUAUAAAUCACUCCUUAGGGUAGUUUGAGUGGUAUCAUGUAUGCAAAGAUAAUUGCAUGAUUUUUUGAGAGAUGACAACAAUUUGGAAUCAUGCAUGUGGUGGGGAAAGCAAAGAUUUAAAGAAAUGUCUGGGUGAAAAAAAUCCUUACCAGAGAAUGUGGUAUUUGCCAAUCACUGAUAGGUUAAAAAGGUUCAAACAAUCAAAAAUAAUUGCAGCCCCAAUGGGAUGGCACAUUGAAAAUGAAUUCACUGGGAGAAUUUCACAUCCAUCUGAUGCAGAAGCAUCGAAGCAUUUUCUAAAUGUUUAUAAUGAAUUUGAGGCUGAAGCGCUAAAUGUGUAUAUUGGAUUAUGCACUGACAGGUUUAGACUUUUUGGAAAAUCAUGUUGGAAGUAUUCACUAUGACUAGUUAUUGUGACCCCAUAUUAUCUACCAAUGAAACAAAAAUUUAUAUGCUUGACCAAGUUCAUGGACCAGCUCACCCUCGUAGGUCACUUUAUGUGUUCCUACAACCUUUGAUCGAAGGGCUGAAAAUGUUAUGGUUCAAAGGUGUACUCACAUAUUAUGUCUCACUAAAAAAUAAUUUCAAAAUGCAAGCCGUUUUGAUGUGAACAAUUAGUGAUUUCUCAGCUUAUGGAAUGUUAUUGGGUUGUACCACAUAUGGAAUACUAUCAUGUACGUACUAUGAAGAUAAUAAAUAUGCAUUUCAGCUAAAGCAUGGCCAGAAGUCAUGUUGUUUGAUUGUCAUCGUUGGUUCUUACCUCAGAGUUACCUUUACCGGUGUAAUAAAAAGGUUUUUCCUAGAAAUAAAACAGAGUUAUGCAUGAUGAGCCCAUUUCAAGCUAUGAUGUAGCGGUUCUACUCAGACAGUUUCAUAGAAUUUAAUGCAGAUCGCACAAUAGAAUGUGGGGGAGAAAUGGACAUGAAAUAAUUGGUGAUUAUGGUCGGUACCAAAAUUGGCAUAAGAGAAGUAUAUCUUGUGUUUUGCCAUAGUGGAACAACCAUCUUCUUACGCAUACUCUUGAUGUUAUGCAUACUGAGAAAUUUAUUUUUAACAAUAUCACCAACACUGUCUUGAAUGUGCAAGGAAAAAAAAAGAUAAUUGAAAUUGACGUUUGGAUUUGGCUGAUAUAUGUUUGCAUGAAGAGUUACAUUUGAUGGACAAUGGCAAAGCUCUGGUGCCCAUUUUUAGAUUAGAUGCAAGUGCAAGGAAUGAAUUUUUUCAGUGGAUAGUUGUGAAUGAUGAUGUUAGGUUUCCCGGUGGAUAUGCUUCAAAUCUAGCUAUGUAAUUGCAUAGAUGACCACGCUGGUAGAUGAUAUGGGAUGUACAUGUAAUGCUUGUUCCAUUUGCGUUUACUGAACUCUUGCCAAAAAAUGUCUACGAUUCAAUUGCGAGUUAGUUUUAUUAUCAUUUAUUCUACUUAAAUUAGCUAUAUAUAUUAUUUAAAUAUGUGGAUUUAUAAGAUAUUUAUGCAGGGCUUGGAUUUUGUUCUCAGAGAUCUCUGUUCAAAAUCUCUCACUAUCGAUGGAUUACAUAUACUUGAACAAAACAUUCAUGUUAUCAUCUGUAAUCUGGAAAAUAUAUUCACUUUCAUUUUUCAAUGUGAUAGAGCAUCUAAUCAUCUAUUAUUCAAUUUUUAUUUCAACAAAUAUUAAUUUUCAAUUUCAAUUGAAAAGGGAUAUGUGUAUUCAUUGCUCCCACAUUUUAUUUAUUAAAUCCGCUGAGUAUUCAACAAAUCUAAUAUGUCAUUUUCAUUUUAUUGAACAUGCAAUUGUAUGAGUUUAGCUGUUGAAUAAUUUUAUUCAAUAGACAUUGUAAAUGGUAGUAAUACUAAUUAAAUAAUAAAGCUCAUCAACUUUCGAGCAAUUAAACUAUAUAUUGUUACGAGGGUUGCAUAUCCUUACUGUUUAUCCGACUCAUUUUAACUUAUUUUAAAUCAAGUAGUGGUGCUUUAUUCAAUAUAAACUUCAAAAUUGCAAUACCAUAAUUUUUUGCAAGAAUGUAAAAUAAUCAAAGCUAAAAGUUCUUAGUUAAGCAAUAUAAAAUUUAGAAGAAACAUAUUAUAAAUUAGGAAAGUUGCAAUAUAUAUUAAUUUUAUCUAAAUUACUGUAUAUAGGAUUAUAUGUAAGUAUGUAAUUAUGAAUUAUGUUACAUAUUAAUUAUUGAAGAUAUUUACGAAUUGAGUAAUAACGUGGAGGUAGUUGACAAAAAAAAAUCGGUAUAUAUCUAAUACCUGACUGUGAAGCCAUGAGUAAAUUUUUCGUAAAACAAGUAGAGGAUGGUUAAAGAGUAAUUGUUAUUAUAAUAGUGCAUAAGGUACGCCCUAAUUAUUGCAGCGGUUGUGGAAGCAUCAUAGCUUAAUGGUUAAGGUUUAAAGGCUUCUACAUCAAUGUCUGGGGUUCGAAUCCGAGACUAUUCAAAUUUUUGCAGAUUACAGGAAAUCCAGAUUUCAAAUCCCGGAGAAAACGAUUUAUUAAUACAAACUACAAAAAAAAGUAUUAUAAGAGAUCUUUAACAUGGUUCAAGUAAAUCUGGUCAGAAAUGGAUCUUCAUAUGACAUCUCAGAUGAUUUUAGUUAUGCACAGAUCUUUAGAAGACAUGUAGUAUUGUCAAUUAUCGAAUCAUCUAUGUAAUAUUUCUCAUAAAUGUAGUGUCAUAAUAAAUCAUUUCUUCAACAUGGUGCAAGUAGAGUGAAUCUUCAUAGGACGACUCAGAUGAUGUAGUUAUUCGUAGAUUCUCAUAAAACAUGUAAUAUUAUCGAUUAUCAAAUCGUCAUUGUAAUAUUCUCAUAAAUGUAAUGUGAUAAUAAAUAAGCUUUAAAAAGAAAAUUAUUGCAGCUGUUUUGUUUCUCGUUGGCAGAGAUGUGAAUAUUGGACGUAUUUUUUGUGUAUGUAAAGCACUUCUCAGAAUAUAAAACUGUUAUCAUAAUAGUGCAUUAGGUACACUAUUAUCAUUAUUUUCUUUUUGGUAUUGAAUUAUAGUUAUCUUCUUUUUGGUAUAAUUAUUGCACAAUACACGAUAAAGUGACCUAGUGGGUAUUAUGACCUUUUACAGAAGAUAUUGUCAAGAUCGUGUAUCUCGUGCAAGGAGAUUAACAACCAGAAAAUCCAUUGUCCAUAUAAUAUUGUGCGUGAUUUAACUGACGGAGGAACCUUUUGAUUAAACUCAAGUACCACUAAAAUAAAAGUUUUUCUUGGGUUCAGUUCUAGUAUUUUGUUAUUUUAUAUUCUAUUUUUUUAAGAAGUAAACAAAAUAAUAAGAACAAGUUAUAUUAUGUUUUUAAAAUAAAAAUAUAAAAUAAAUAAAAAAUAGUUGCCAAAAAGAUUUUUUUAAAAUAUUUUCAACGUCGUUGUCAAAACAUUAAACCUUAAAUACUAAACUCUAAAUCUUUGGAUAAAUCCUAAAUUUCUGGAUAAAUUUGAAACCCUAAAUCAUAAACACUAAAUACUAAAAUCUUAAAACAUUAAACCUUUAAUCUUAAACUCUAAACCUUUGAAUAAAUCCUAAACCCUAGGAUUUAUGGUUUACCCAUGAUUUAAAGUUUACCCAAGGUUUUAGAAUUUAGUAUUUAGAGUUUCGUAAUUAAGAUUUUAGGGUUUAUUGUAUUGCUGGCAUAUUUUUUAAAAAAAUCUUUUUUUUGACACUAUUUUCUACCUAUUUUUAUCUUUUUAUUCUUAAAACAUAACUUGAUAAAAAAAUUUUAUUUUGUUUUUUUUAAUAUAUAGAAUACGAAAUAACAAAAUACUUUUUGUUGGUAGGUUCACCAUGGGAGGUGAACCCAAGAGUUUUUUUAGGUAGAUUCACCAACCAAUAAUAGUUUGCCACUUCAUUUUCAAUUUUUUUUGGGAAAAAAAAUCAAUAAUAAUAAAUUAUCAAAUCAUAUUAUGUUUUAAAAAUAAAUAAAAAAUAGUAAUAGCUGCAAAAAAAUAAAUUAUUUUUAACAUUAUUAACGCUGUCAGCAAAAUACUAAACCCUAAAUCAUAAACACUAAACACUAAAACUUUGUGUAAAAUUUAAACCAUUGGAUAAAUCCUAGACCCUAAAUCAUAAACACAAAACUUUAAACCCUUGGGUAAACUCUAAACCUUUGGGUAAAUUCUAAACCCUUGGGUAAAUUCUAAACCCUUGGGUAAAUUCGAAACCUAAUGAUUUGCUGACGGCGUUUAGGGUUUAGUGUUUAUAUUGAGGGUUUAGGAUUUACCCACGAGUUUAGGAUUUACCAAAAGACUUAAGGUUUACCCAAAAGUUUAGGGUUUAGUGUUUAGGGUUUAUGGUUUAGAGUUUUGCUCACGGCGUUAACAAUGUUUAAAAAAAAAAUCAUUUUUUUUGUCAGCUAUUAUUAUUUUUAUUUAUUUUUAACUUUUUAAUUUAAAAACAUAAAAUGACUUGGUAGAUUUUUAUUAUUUGUUCCUUUUAAAACAAAAACUAACACACGAGAUGUUAAUUCGAUUACUAGUUGGGUUCCCCUAAAACAGUGGCGGAGUCAUGAGGGUGUCAAUUGAUCCAUAUCAAAUAUAUAAAAUUUAGUUUGUAGUGCUAUUAUCUUAGUUAUUGUAGUAGUUAAAUAGUUUAAAUCUCUUUUUAUCGACGCACACGGCACAUGUCAUGAAUUCAUAUCACUUGUAUAUCUUUUUACUUAUAAUAUAUAAAGGAUUAAUUAUGAUCUCUAUAAAUCAUUUGUCUAGCUUUAUCAUUGCCCUAAGGCGAACCCAUGCCCUCGGGUGAACCCAAGAAAAACUUCUCCUCUCUCCUAUUUUCAAUUUAUUUAGUAAUAUAUUGUUUAGAAACUUAUGAAAAGAGUUUCCCACCAAAAAUUCCCUAAAGCAUUUAAGAGAUAUAAAAGCAUAACAACUCUAUUAGAGCAUCAUUAAUCCUACAAAUCCAUUUGGAGCUCUUAAUAAGUUUUUUAGUAAUAUUUAGUAAUUAAGAACUUUAGUUAAGAGAUCUUUAAAUUUUGUGUUCCAAUAAGAGUUUUUUAACUAGGGGUUCUUAAAAAAAAUUAUGAAACAUUGUGAUGAUAAGAGUGUCAACAUAAGUAGAUCAAGUAACUUACUUUGAAAGACCAGAUAUAUACCCAGAGACAUUCAACAUGCCAUCUGUAAUGUCUACUUUACAAAGAGAGUUUAAAGCUUCGGUCCCUCCAUCCAAGAGACACCUCUUCAAUUCGCCUUUCGAUUCACCAAAUACCUCUUCGACUCUGAUGCAUGCGAAUUUCGGGAACCAGAGAGAGAAAAAGCGACAGAACACCGAAAGAGAGGAAGAACUCGUGAUCGGUUUUUUCCCCUUCUCACCACAAUCCAAUACACAACUACCAUGUGUCCUCUAAGGCACGUAUUUUCUAGUCCCAGAUUACGAACCGUUCCUUUUUUUUUUUCAUUUUUCUUUUUCUUUUAAUCAUUAUUUGUCUUAAGAACCUCCUAAGAUACUGUGACAAUCCGCUCCGUGGGAACUACCUGUCCCGUGGGCUCCAUGCUCAUAGCGCUGCAGCGCACCGACCCUAACCCCUCCAUUAUAAGUUUUCUCUAACUCCAUAAUUAGGUUGUUGGUGAGCCUCGAACCCAGGAUCUCACCCUUUAACAACAUUCCCACAUAACAAGAUGUCACCAAUUGAUAUGCUACACAUAUACUUAAAGCAUUUUCUCGCUACUCUUUUUUGGAACAUACAUCUAACAAUAAACUGAUGUAAAUACAAAAUAAUUCAAAUAAAAUUUAAAAUUAUCAAUAAUAUAAAUUUAUUUAUUUGAAGUUAGUCAUUACAAAAAAAAAAUUGUUAAUAACUUUUUAUUUUAUUUAAAGAAAUUAUAUUUUUUUCUUUUACUAUUCGAUACCAAGUUAUAUUUUGUAUUCUUUUGGUUUUACUUCAUAUUAACUAGGACUAUUACUAGUAUUUUUCUUAUACUAUUUCAUACUUAUAAAAUAUAUUUUCUAGUCUUUUAAAUUACUUAGAAUUAAACAAGAUUGGGAAUAUUUCCCAUUUUUAUAAACUUUAUUAAGUAUAGAGUUUCAAAAUUUUCUAUAUGAAAUUCACGAUAGUUUUAUUUUGUGUUUGCAGUUUUUAAAAUAAUUUUAUGUGUGUUUUGUAUAAUGGUAUUUUAUAUUCUACUUUUGCAGAGAAUAAAUAUUUUACUAUUAAUAAUAUUUUUUAUUUUAUUAGUUUUAAAAUCAAAAACCAAAAAGUAAAAACCAAAAUCUAAAACAACCAUUCAAGUUUUUCAAAAAACUAAAAUUUACUGCAAAAUCAGAACUUAAAAACUAAAGCUAAAAUUUAAAAAUCAAAAACCAAAAUCUAAAAACUAGAACCUAAAAUCUAAAAACUAAGAAAAAGAAUCAUCACCUAAAUAAUGCUCCUCGCAAAUAAAAACGACCACGUAAUUACAGCAUCCAAAACAUUAUACUAAACUACAGUAAAACAAUAUUCUGCUCUAAAGCGCACUUCGGCUAGUUACCGUAACUCUUACAAGAUAUAAGGGAAGAACACAUCCAUUAUUUGACCUUUGUUUUAUUCUCAAGAACAAGGUUCACAAAUAUUGCUAUGGACAUUAAAGCAGAUUUAAGUAAGCUUCUAAAAAUCAGAUAACAAUGAGCCUGUCCGAAGAUUGUAGCAACUAGACCUCAGUGAAAUCAGACAUAAAGCAGUCAUUACCAAAACCUGAACCAGGGCUUUUUAGUUUUAUAGUAUCUCAACAACACCACGGCUCACGAUUUUCCCUUCGUUGAGAUCUUGAAAC